AGUAGUGACAACUUACGAUUGCAUCUUCACGGGAGGUAGACUUCGGUUGUACUGAGAGCUGGAGAGACUGGUCAGCAAGCUGCAAACGUUUAGCUUCCUAUAAUUCUGUGCCCGUUGGCCCCUGAAACUAUUCUGGGAGAGAUCUGGGAGUGAAGUGGUGAAACCGAGAGAGUAAAACAUAUGCUUCCUGUUCAAAGUGAAACAACAAACCGCCUUGUGUUUACAAACAGCGAAAUAUUCCGUCUAUGACUUAACAAACGGCAGCUACACAGUAGGCGGGUCGGCCUCUUGGUGAAACAAUACAUUGAUGUGCUGGUCCAGCCUUGCCGGCGCUAUUGGUAAAAAAAACAUUAACUCAGUGAGAUUUAAUGUUCGCCACUGUGCUAACUUUGGAGCACAUUGAGAUAAAACAGGAAGCUUCAUAAAUACCCGAGGAACAUACAAUUGUCCAUGGCUCAUUGAAGUUCUGAUAAGUACAAUCCUAGACGACCUUACAAUUUCCACCUGUGGUUUUUUAUGAUGAUACAAAAAGGCAAACAAACUUGGAACAGCAAUCUUUGAAACAAAAAUAGAAGAGUGGAGCAUCACAGGGCGAACGAUCAAUCCUUGGCAGAAGAACAGCCUGUAUUGUUACCCAGUAGUUAUUAUCUCUAAAUGUAAAAAAGUGUUUAAACUAUUAGUUAAAAUAAUA